rnacentral:rRNA from 1 species
AUACCGUGAAACUGCGAAUGGCUCAUUAAAUCAGUUAUCGUUUAUUUGAUAGUACCUUACUACUUGGAUAACCGUGGUAAUUCUAGAGCUAAUACAUGCUAAAAACCCCAACUUCGGGAGGGGGUGUAUUUAUUAGAUAAAAAACCAAUGCCCUUCGGGGCUCUUUGGUGAUUCAUGAUAACUUAACGGAUCGCAUGGCCCUUGCGCCGGCGACGGUUCAUUCAAAUUUUCUGCCCUAUCAACUUUCGAUGGUAAGGUAUUGGCUUACCAUGGUUUCAACGGGUAACGGGGAAUUAGGGUUCGAUUCCGGAGAGGGAGCCUGAGAAACGGCUACCACAUCCAAGGAAGGCAGCAGGCGCGCAAAUUACCCAAUCCCGACACGGGGAGGUAGUGACAAUAAAUACUGAUACAGGGCUCUUUUGGGUCUUGUAAUUGGAAUGAGUACAAUUUAAACCCCUUAACGAGGAACAAUUGGAGGGCAAGUCUGGUGCCAGCAGCCGCGGUAAUUCCAGCUCCAAUAGCGUAUAUUAAAGUUGUUGCAGUUAAAAAGCUCGUAGUUGAAACUUGGGCCUGGCUGUCUGGUCCGCCUCACCGCGUGUACUGGUUCGGCCGGGCCUUUCCUUCUGGAGAGCCUCAUGCCCUUCACUGGGUGUGUUGGGGAACCAGGACUUUUACUUUGAAAAAAUUAGAGUGUUCAAAGCAGGCCUUUGCUCGAAUACGUUAGCAUGGAAUAAUAGAAUAGGACGUGCGAUCCUAUUUUGUUGGUUUCUAGGACCGCCGUAAUGAUUAAUAGGGAUAGUCGGGGGCAUCAGUAUUCAAUUGUCAGAGGUGAAAUUCUUGGAUUUAUUGAAGACUAACUACUGCGAAAGCAUUUGCCAAGGAUGUUUUCAUUAAUCAGUGAACGAAAGUUAGGGGAUCGAAGACGAUCAGAUACCGUCGUAGUCUUAACCGUAAACUAUGCCGACUAGGGAUCGGGCGAUGUUAUUAUUUUUGACUCG